CGUUGCUGCUUUCUCCGAGAAGCUCGCGAAUGGCCGCCCAGACGUCGUCUCUCAACUGGACUAAGCAGGGCAGCCCUCUAAAGCUAUGUUCUCUCGUCUACUUUUCAUCGAUUCGAAAACGUGAACUAGACAAGGUGUUAAUCAAAUAGAAUGAAAUCAUUGAAGCCCAUCCUUACCUGAGAGCUUCGGCUGAAUGAGCUGGGCUAUUCUUUGAUUCCCCUUUGGGUGAGAUGAGUUGAGAGUGAAAAUUGUAUUUGUUGGCUGAUUAUCAAUAAUUGUCGUUGCAUAAUUAUGUGAUAAUGGUGGUAAUGGAAAACAAAGUAUAGUGGUGUAGAAAAGUGGUGAGUGGUGGGGAAAAUGGUGGUGAAAGUGGUGGGGAAAAGUUAGGAAACUAAAGUUGAUGGAAGAAAAAUGUAGAGAAGAAUUAAUGAUGUAUUUUCUCUGUCUCGGUGAUUCUGUAACUGUAAAGUGGAUUGCGUGCUCAUAUUUGCUUGUACUGUUUAUUUAAAUAAAUCUCGAUUUCGACA